GUCCUCCAUCCUCGGCUUUGUUCCUUCGUCGUUUGCUUACCUGGCUGUGGGUGCGGUCUUGGCUGCUGCAGCCGGGAGCCCGGAGCCCGGUGCCAGCCCUCGUCGUCGCCGCCGCCGCCGCCGCCGCCAUGGUGUCCCCGGUCACGGUGGUAAAAAGUGAGGGACCCAAACUGGUACCCUUCUUCAAGGCCACCUGCGUGUAUUUUGUGCUGUGGCUGCCCUCAUCUAGCCCGUCCUGGGUCAGCGCCCUCAUAAAGUGCCUGCCCAUCUUCUGCCUCUGGCUCUUCCUUCUGGCUCAUGGCUUUGGAUUCCUGCUGGCUCAUCCCAGUGCCACAAGAAUCUUUGUGGGACUUGUUUUCUCUGCUGUAGGGGAUGCCUUCCUCAUCUGGCAGGACCAAGGCUACUUUGUGCACGGUCUGCUGAUGUUUGCUGUGACCCACAUGCUCUAUGCCUCAGCCUUUGGCAUGAGACCACUGGCUCUCCGGACAGGUCUGGUGAUGGGAGUGCUCUCAGGCCUGUGCUAUGCCCUCCUUUACCCAGGGCUUUCAGGUGCCUUCACUUACCUGGUGGGGGUGUAUGUGGCCCUCAUCAGCUUCAUGGGUUGGCGAGCUAUGGCAGGGCUGCGGCUGGUUGGGGCAGCUUGGCGCUGGACCGAGCUGGCAGCUGGCUGUGGUGCGUUGCUGUUUAUCAUCUCAGACAUGACCAUCGCACUCAACAAGUUCUGCUUUCCGGUGCCCUACUCUCGGGCACUCAUCAUGUCCACCUACUAUGCUGCGCAGAUGCUCAUUGCCCUUUCAGCUGUUGAGAGCCGAGAGCCAGUGGAAGACUACAGACUGAGCAAGGCCAAUUGAGGACCAAGGCUCUGCUCACCUCUUUCCUGGAGCUGGGGUCCAGACCCUGGGAACCUGAAGGAGCUAGAUUAGGGUGGCUCGGUAAUCAGUGCCAGCCUGGGAUAGCAGGUACCUCUGGGGGAAGUGACAAGUUUGAGGGGGAAAGCAGAAGGAUCACCCUGGCAAAGCUAAUGGUUCAGGACAAUACUGAGAGCUCAGAGAGGCAGCCUCAUGUCAUGCUCCUCGCUGGAGCCAGAAUUGACCUUGUCCCACCUGUACUCCAUCAGGACUGUCCAAGCCCCCCUGCAGGGUGAUGGUGCUCAGUUCUUGACCUCUCCAUUUCUCUGCUAGGUUGAAGAGUCACUCCAUCUCUAUGCUGAGGACCACUGGCCAUGUUGGGCCAGCCCAUUCUGUUCUGCACAGAGUUGAGGGAAAGAGGGAACAAAUCUGCUGAGAUGAUCCAGAUCUAGGGCUUGAAGCUCUUUUCCAACUAGGAGUUGGGAAGACUGGAAGAGGGUGGAGUCUCCCUUUCCUUGUUACUUGAACAAUCUCAAUUCUUAAGUGGUAAGUGGGAAGGUGGAGAGGUGUCUGUCUAGGCUAGGCAAUAGGAGGAACUUCCUUAGUUUGGCAGCUUGGGGAUACCAAGGAUUAAAGUUGGUCCUGUCUCCCUACCUGGUCGGCCCAGAGUUCAGGCCCCAUACAACCACCUUCAGAUCCUGUCCUCAGGGUUAGGUGAACCACGCCAAAGGAAGGGGCCAGGGUGUGUGUGUGUGUGUGUGUGUGUGUGUGUGUGUGUGUGUGUGCGCUGGGAAGGGAAGAACAGCACAAAGCCUUGAGUCACAAAGGCAAGGAGUGAAGGGAGGAGGUAAAUUACUGACUCAGGAGACUGAGUUUGCUCAAAAUGCUGUUUAUUGCUCUAUUCAAUGACCACGAGCGAAUUAUAAAUAGACAUCAAAUGUCUCUGUCUGCCGUGGAAUAAAUACUUAAAGUCAGCAAUAAAAACACGUGGCUCCAAGAUAACACAUGUGGCCAAAGAGUCAUGCACGCCCUGCUGACGGGCUCUCAACACACGCAUGGACAUAGGAACACACGCACGGCGACACGCAGCGAGACUUUUGGGGAGGCUUUCCCACAGUGACAGAAACAUGUCCCACACAGAUCGGAGGCCAAGUCCUUACCCUAGCUCAGCCUUGGAGUUCCCCUGUUCCUGCAACCAGGGCCCGGAUCCUUUGGCUUCUCCAUCCCCACCAGUUCCCCUCUUCUUCAAUGGCCUCACAGGCUGGUCAUUGCCUCCUGAGAGGCAUCUGACACCCAGAAGCCACUCUGCCAUGUUGUUCACCCCAACCUAGAGACCUUCCCCAGCUGCCUUCUCUCUACCAACCCAUCGGGAGCUCCUUUGCCUGGCCUCUAAGUCUUCAGUCCUGUCCUUUACAUCCUGGUCCCAAAAAUUGGCCAG